UACGGAGGGGGCUAGCGUUGUUCGGAAUUACUGGGCGUAAAGCGCACGUAGGCGGCUAUUCAAGUCAGAGGUGAAAGCCCGGGGCACAACCCCGGAACUGCCUUUGAAACUAGAUGGCUAGAAUCUUGGAGAGGCGAGUGGAAUUCCGAGUGUAGAGGUGAAAUUCGUAGAUAUUCGGAAGAACACCAGUGGCGAAGGCGACUCGCUGGACAAGUAUUGACGCUGAGGUGCGAAAGCGUGGGGAGCAAACAGG
rnacentral:rRNA from 1 species